rnacentral:rRNA from 1 species
UACGUAGGGGGCAAGCGUUGUCCGGAUUUACUGGGUUUAAAGCGCACGUAGGCGGCUUUGUUAGUCAGGGGUGAAAUCGUGGGGCUUAACCGCGGAACCGCCAUUGAUACUGAUAGUCUCGAGUCCGGCAGAGGUUGGUGGAAUGCGUGGUGUAGAGGUGAAAUGCGUAGAUAUCAGGCAGAACACCAGUGGCGAAGGCAGAUCCCUGGGCCGGAACUGACGCUGAGGCACGAAAGCGUGGGGAGCAAACAGG